ensembl:snRNA U6 U6 spliceosomal RNA
GUGCUUGCUCCGCAGCACACAUACUAAAAUUGGAACAAUAGAGAAGAUUGGCAUGGCCCCUGCCACAGGGGCGACAUGCAAAUCUGUGAAGCAGUCUAUUUAAAU